GCCUUCAUUGAGAACUGUUACUCUUUGCUCAAUUUUGUGCAAGUCAGUGAGACUCUGACCUGGAAAAAUUGCUUCUGAUUCUCAAAACAAGGACAGCAAGGUGUGUGCAGACUUCUAUGGUGUUUGCACCCACCAUUGAGCUCAGCAGAUAUUUGGAGAGGUGAUGGUCUGGCCACACCUGUCCAGCCACCGCAUCCCUCUGGUUACGGGAAGGCUGGUUCAGUAUAGACCCAAACACGAGGCUGAAAGUCACCUACAGACCCUCAGUGCUCCCCAAGAACACCCAUGUCAGCGUGUGGCUGCAAGGAAAACGAAGGACUCCGGCGUGUGUUAUCUCCACCUCCGCAAUUCCCGUCCGGCUGAUGAGCGGCUGGAUGGCUCCGUGCCUUCCUCACUGAACUACUGAAGCCAAUAAUGAACAUAAAUACUUACAUAACAUAAAUAAAAACAACUUGCAGGAUUUUAAAGCAACCACAGACAUCUUGCAGCUAAGACAAUGUUAGUUUUUAAUGAAAGUAAUUCUGUUGCUAUCCCAAGAGAUGUUAGAAUGAAAGAG